rnacentral:rRNA from 1 species
GGUUAAGCGACUAAGCGUACACGGUGGAUGCCCUGGCAGUCAGAGGCGAUGAAGGACGUGCUAAUCUGCGAUAAGCGUCGGUGAGGUGAUAUGAACCGUUAUAACCGGCGAUUUCCGAAUGGGGAAACCCAGUGUGUUUCGACACACUAUCAUUAACUGAAUCCAUAGGUUAAUGAGGCGAACCGGGGGAACUGAAACAUCUAAGUACCCCGAGGAAAAGAAAUCAACCGAGAUUCCCCCAGUAGCGGCGAGCGAACGGGGAGGAGCCCAGAGCCUGAAUCAGUGUGUGUGUUAGUGGAAGUGUCUGGAAAGGCGCGCGAUACAGGGUGACAGCCCCGUACACAAAAAUGCACAUAUUGUGAGCUCGAUGAGUAGGGCGGGACACGUGGUAUCCUGUCUGAAUAUGGGGGGACCAUCCUCCAAGGCUAAAUACUCCUGACUGACCGAUAGUGAACAAGUACCGUGAGGGAAAGGCGAAAAGAACCCCGGCGAGGGGAGUGAAAAAGAACCUGAAACCGUGUACGUACAAGCAGUGGGAGCCUCUUAAUGGGGUGACUGCGUACCUUUUGUAUAAUGGGUCAGCGACUUAUAUUCUGUAGCAAGGUUAACCGAAUAGGGGAGCCGAAGGGAAACCGAGUCUUAACUGGGCGUUAAGUUGCAGGGUAUAGACCCGAAACCCGGUGAUCUAGCCAUGGGCAGGUUGAAGGUUGGGUAACACUAACUGGAGGACCGAACCGACUAAUGUUGAAAAAUUAGCGGAUGACUUGUGGCUGGGGGUGAAAGGCCAAUCAAACCGGGAGAUAGCUGGUUCUCCCCGAAAGCUAUUUAGGUAGCGCCUCGUGAAUUCAUCUCCGGGGGUAGAGCACUGUUUCGGCAAGGGGGUCAUCCCGACUUACCAACCCGAUGCAAACUGCGAAUACCGGAGAAUGUUAUCACGGGAGACACACGGCGGGUGCUAACGUCCGUCGUGAAGAGGGAAACAACCCAGACCGCCAGCUAAGGUCCCAAAGUCAUGGUUAAGUGGGAAACGAUGUGGGAAGGCCCAGACAGCCAGGAUGUUGGCUUAGAAGCAGCCAUCAUUUAAAGAAAGCGUAAUAGCUCACUGGUCGAGUCGGCCUGCGCGGAAGAUGUAACGGGGCUAAACCAUGCACCGAAGCUGCGGCAGCGACACUAUGUGUUGUUGGGUAGGGGAGCGUUCUGUAAGCCUGUGAAGGUGGCCUGUGAGGGUUGCUGGAGGUAUCAGAAGUGCGAAUGCUGACAUAAGUAACGAUAAAGCGGGUGAAAAGCCCGCUCGCCGGAAGACCAAGGGUUCCUGUCCAACGUUAAUCGGGGCAGGGUGAGUCGACCCCUAAGGCGAGGCCGAAAGGCGUAGUCGAUGGGAAACAGGUUAAUAUUCCUGUACUUGGUGUUACUGCGAAGGGGGGACGGAGAAGGCUAUGUUGGCCGGGCGACGGUUGUCCCGGUUUAAGCGUGUAGGCUGGUUUUCCAGGCAAAUCCGGAAAACCAAGGCUGAGGCGUGAUGACGAGGCACUACGGUGCUGAAGCGACAAAUGCCCUGCUUCCAGGAAAAGCCUCUAAGCAUCAGGUAACAUCAAAUCGUACCCCAAACCGACACAGGUGGUCAGGUAGAGAAUACCAAGGCGCUUGAGAGAACUCGGGUGAAGGAACUAGGCAAAAUGGUGCCGUAACUUCGGGAGAAGGCACGCUGAUAUGUAGGUGAAGCGACUUGCUCGUGGAGCUGAAAUCAGUCGAAGAUACCAGCUGGCUGCAACUGUUUAUUAAAAACACAGCACUGUGCAAACACGAAAGUGGACGUAUACGGUGUGACGCCUGCCCGGUGCCGGAAGGUUAAUUGAUGGGGUUAGCGGUAACGCGAAGCUCUUGAUCGAAGCCCCGGUAAACGGCGGCCGUAACUAUAACGGUCCUAAGGUAGCGAAAUUCCUUGUCGGGUAAGUUCCGACCUGCACGAAUGGCGUAAUGAUGGCCAGGCUGUCUCCACCCGAGACUCAGUGAAAUUGAACUCGCUGUGAAGAUGCAGUGUACCCGCGGCAAGACGGAAAGACCCCGUGAACCUUUACUAUAGCUUGACACUGAACAUUGAGCCUUGAUGUGUAGGAUAGGUGGGAGGCUUUGAAGUGUGGACGCCAGUCUGCAUGGAGCCGACCUUGAAAUACCACCCUUUAAUGUUUGAUGUUCUAACGUUGGCCCGUAAUCCGGGUUGCGGACAGUGUCUGGUGGGUAGUUUGACUGGGGCGGUCUCCUCCUAAAGAGUAACGGAGGAGCACGAAGGUUGGCUAAUCCUGGUCGGACAUCAGGAGGUUAGUGCAAUGGCAUAAGCCAGCUUGACUGCGAGCGUGACGGCGCGAGCAGGUGCGAAAGCAGGUCAUAGUGAUCCGGUGGUUCUGAAUGGAAGGGCCAUCGCUCAACGGAUAAAAGGUACUCCGGGGAUAACAGGCUGAUACCGCCCAAGAGUUCAUAUCGACGGCGGUGUUUGGCACCUCGAUGUCGGCUCAUCACAUCCUGGGGCUGAAGUAGGUCCCAAGGGUAUGGCUGUUCGCCAUUUAAAGUGGUACGCGAGCUGGGUUUAGAACGUCGUGAGACAGUUCGGUCCCUAUCUGCCGUGGGCGCUGGAGAACUGAGGGGGGCUGCUCCUAGUACGAGAGGACCGGAGUGGACGCAUCACUGGUGUUCGGGUUGUCAUGCCAAUGGCACUGCCCGGUAGCUAAAUGCGGAAGAGAUAAGUGCUGAAAGCAUCUAAGCACGAAACUUGCCCCGAGAUGAGUUCUCCCUGAGACUUAGAGUCUCCUGAAGGAACGUUGAAGACGACGACGUUGAUAGGCCGGGUGUGUAAGCGCAGCGAUGCGUUGAGCUAACCGGUACUAAUGAACCGUGAGGCUUAACCUU